rnacentral:rRNA from 1 species
GACGAACGCUGGCGGCGUGCUUAACACAUGCAAGUCGAACGGAAAGGCCCUGCUUUUGUGGGGUGCUCGAGUGGCGAACGGGUGAGUAACACGUGAGUAACCUGCCCUUGACUUUGGGAUAACUUCAGGAAACUGGGGCUCAUACCGGAUAGGAGCUCCUGCUGCAUGGUGGGGGUUGGAAAGUUUCGGCGGUUGGGGAUGGACUCGCGGCUUAUCAGCUUGUUGGUGGGGUAGUGGCUUACCAAGGCUUUGACGGGUAGCCGGCCUGAGAGGGUGACCGGCCACAUUGGGACUGAGGGACGGCCCAGACUCCUACGGGAGGCAGCAGUGGGGAAUAUUGCACAAUGGGCGGAAGCCUGAUGCAGCAACGCCGCGUGCGGGAUGACGGCCUUCGGGUUGUAAACCGCUUUCGCCUGUGACGAAGCGUGAGUGACGGUAAUGGGUAAAGAAGCACCGGCUAACUACGUG